GAGACACCAGUGCAUGUCUUUCAGCGACUGGUGGAUGGCUGUCCUCAGCCAGAUCUGCUUGCUUCCAGGGAAAAUGUCCACCCUUCCUAAAGGCACAGGAAUAAGGUGCUCCCCUGAAACUCCCUGAGUCUGUGUGCUGCACCUGUCCCUAGCUCCAGAAGUUCCAGACUUUUCAUGGGAGGGGUCAAACCUCUUCCCUUGGAGCAAGCAAAUCCAGUCACUGUCUAGAAUCCUUUAUUCUUGACAUUGAAAUAUUUAACCCAUCAGAAAGUGUACACACACAAGGUAGGGAGCAGCUUCAUGUUCUCCACGAUGGUUACCCCAGUGAUUUUCAAGUUUUGUUACCCAUUAGAAAUCCUGAUGCCCAGGUCACACCUCAUACCAAUGAACCUAGAAUGUCUCAGAUAGGAACUAGGCAUCAGUAUUCAUAAAAGUUUCCCAGGUGAUUCCAAUAUACAGCAAAGUGUGGGCACCACAGCUUUACUCAGGUAACCCAAUACCCUUUACUAAAUAGACUAUUCUGUUUCUCAUGUUUUACAGUGACCAACCAUCUCAACUUUAACACUCAAAGUCUCAUGUCCCAGGAAACCCUCAGUUCCAGAGGAACUGGGAUGGCUGGUCACCCUGCGUGUCAUACACUAAAUUCUUUUUUUUUUUUUUUUUUUUUUUUUUGAGACUGAGUCUUGCUCUGUUGCCAGGCCGGAGUGCAGUGGUGUGAUCUCGGCUCACUGAAACCUCCACCUCCCAGGUUCAAGUGAUUCUCCUGCCUCAGCCUCCCGAGUAGCUAGGACUACAGGAGCGCACCACCAUGCCCAGCUAAUUUUUGUAUUUUUUUUUAGUAGAGAUGGGGUUUCACCAUGUUGGCCAGGAUGGUCUCGAUCUCUUGAUCUCAUGAUUCACCUGCCUCAGCCUCCCAAAGUGCUGGGAUUACAGGUGUGAGCCACCGCGCCCGGCCAUCAUACACUAAAUUCUUACAUAAACUUAGAUCUGUCCCUGGACUUUCUAGUCUACAUCAUUUCUAUCUGCCCAGCAACAGUACCAUGCCAUUUUCAUUAUUAUGACUUUAGAGCAUAUUUUAAUACAACAUAAGGCAAGUUCUCUCUCAUUAUUCUCAUUUUGUCAUCU
rnacentral:lncRNA from 1 species